rfam:Danio rerio chromosome 4, GRCz11 reference primary assembly.
GCCUGGAUAGCUCAGUUGGUAGAGCAUCACACUUUUAAUGUGAGGGUCCAGGGUUCAAGUCCCUGUUUGGGCG